rnacentral:rRNA from 1 species
GACGAACGCUGGCGGUGUGCCUCACACAUGCAAGUCGAACGGGGUAGCAAUACCUAGUGGCGGACGGGUGAGUAACACGUGGGAAUCUGCCUCGAGGUGGGUGGACAACAGACCGAAAGGGCUGCUAAUCCCCCAUAUGCGCGUAUUCCGACAGGAAUGUGCGUGAAAGGAGCAAUCCGCCUUGAGAUGAGCCCGCGUCCGAUUAGCUAGUUGGUAGGGUAAAAGCCUACCAAGGCGACGAUCGGUAGGUGGUCUGAGAGGAUGAUCACCCACAAUG